UCACACACAGCCCAAAGCUAUCAAAUCACUUGCAGCUGAAGGAAAUGGCAGCUUAAAAUAAAUACCACAAUUGCAGGAGUCUAGGAUCUCAGGCAAGUGAAAGGAAUCCUGAGAUUAUGAUAAGGAGGGUGGUGCUGAAGGAGGAUGAGAAAAUACAAUUUGGCCUGGAUUUGGUGGUGGUAUAAGACAGCAAGUCUGAAAUAGUUGAUUGCUCUGAGAAAGUAAGAUGACCUUGUAAAACUUGAAUAGCUUAGAAUUCUCUGUCUCCUCCUAUUACCACCAUCCAAGUGGCCAAUGCAGCAUCUGGUUAUCUUUCACAAAAGCUACAGAAACAAUGUUCUCCAUAUUUAUUUUCUUCUGAAAUGAUUGACCCAAAUAGCUAAAAGCACUAUAGAACUAUGCAUCUUUUCUCCAAAAGAAGAGAGCAAGCCAACAUUCAACUGCUAAUUGAAGAUGGUUGGGACUCCCUGAGGUUCAAAGGACUAUCCUGACUCAAUUAACAUCUGUCUUCUGAAGAUCUUGACAAGGAAGAGUGUGUAUAGAAACCUAAGUUGAGAAGGUCACACUGUCUUACUAGUGAUAAUAAUGAAACAUCAAUAUAUUGAAGCAAUGGUCGAUUCAUAGUAAAGUAUGCAAGUCAGUUAUUUCCUGACUUGGGUGUUCAACCCUUUGGGAAUUGUGAGAACAUCAACAGUAUUGAAAAUGAAUGUUAUGAAGCUGGAAGACAAAAGUACAAUGGCAAAUCCUCCCACCAAAAGCCCUUCUCCACUAUGAUUGGCUGGCCUGAUUGGAUGGCAUCCUUGUAGUGACUGGAUUGACCUUGAAUGAGCUGGGGAUGGUGACGACCGACAGGGAGCUCUGGCGUGGACUGGUCCAUGAAGUCACAAAGAGUCGGAAACGACUGAACGAAUGAACAACAACAACAACAACAAUCUUACAACAUAUUGUCACAACUAAUAGAUCUAUGAUGUCUAUUCAUAUUAAAAGUGCUUCCUUCUCUAAGUUAUAGGAAUAAACCUUAGUCAAGAUGUUGCAGCCCUAAUUGAUUUCUUAUUGAAUUGUUCGGUAUCUUUGGCUUUCAUGCUGGGGGCAUUCACAUUUCCAGAACAGCCCUGAUUUGUGAAUUUUAUAUGGCAAAAUGAGAGAGCAAUGAUGUGCUCUGAACAGCUUUAUAUCUAAAUUGUAGAAAUCUGUACAAAUCUGGACUCUGUGCAAGGCGGAAAUAUACUCCAACAGAAAAUGCUUUACAAGUGUUAAUCACCUUGGGAAUUUAACAUAUUGCACAGGGAACU